rnacentral:rRNA from 1 species
UACGAAGGGGGCUAGCGUUGUUCGGAUUUACUGGGCGUAAAGCGCACGUAGGCGGAUAGGUAAGUUAGGGGUGAAAUCCCGGGGCUCAACUCCGGAACUGCCUUUAAUACUGCCGAUCUCGAGUCCGGAAGAGGUGAGUGGAACUCCUAGUGUAGAGGUGGAAUUCGUAGAUAUUAGGAAGAACACCAGUGGCGAAGGCGGCUCACUGGUCCGGUACUGACGCUGAGGUGCGAAAGCGUGGGGAGCAAACAGG